rnacentral:rRNA from 1 species
UACGAAGGGGGCUAGCGUUGCUCGGAAUCACUGGGCGUAAAGCGCACGUAGGCGGAUUGUUAAGUCAGGGGUGAAAUCCUGGAGCUCAACUCCAGAACUGCCUUUGAUACUGGCGAUCUCGAGUCCGGGAGAGGUGAGUGGAAACUGCGAGUGUAGAGGUGAAAAUUCGUAGAUAUUCGCAAGAACACCAGUGGCGAAGGCGGCUCACUGGCCCGGUAC